rnacentral:rRNA from 1 species
AGAUACGGGGCAGAUCAUGUUAAACACUCCUUGAUAAAGGACAAAACCAAAUGAACCCUGCCCUAAUGUCUUUGGUUGGGGCGACCGCGGGGAAACAAAAAACCCCCACGUGGAAUGGGAGCACUCCCUCCUACAACUAAGAGCUACUGCUCAAGUUAACAGAAUUUUCUGACCAAUAAGAUCCGGCAACGCCGAUCAACGGACCGAGUUACUCUAGGGAUAACAGCGCAAUCCCCUUUUAGAGCCCAUAUCGACAAGGGGGUUUACGACCUCGAUGUUGGAUCAGGACAUCCUAAUGGUGCAGCCGCUAUUAAG